UAAAAUAAUUUUUUGUAGUGUUUGCCUGAAGCAUGCAGAGUGCAGGUACACAUUUUUUAAUGGCUGCAAAGGGUAUAUACACAUUGCUUAAUGGCUGCAGCAGGCAUUCCGUCAGACAAUUUAAUGUUAUGUCAUUAUGUCGUAGUGUACGUGCGAUAUUGUUGUUGCAUUCUUCUUGCAAUGGCCUCAAGUUCUCAAGAAUGUUUCUGCAUUUUGCUGUCAGCUGCUCUCUGUUCUGUGAUGUUUUAACGAAGAGAAAGGUUGUAUGUUUGAGAAGAUUGCCCAUCAAUUUGCAUUCAGAUCAUUGGUACACUUGUCUGUGUUGGUUUCCCAAAUGACAAUGCCUUGCUAAGCUUAAUGGUUGGUCAAAGAUUGUGUGCUUGCAAAAAUCAUUUUCAGGUAUAAGCGUGAAGAAGUUAAAAUAGAAGCGUAGAAAAAUACUCGAAAAAUGAAAGCAGAAGUUGAAUCAGGAAGAAUAGAGGUCAAAGUUGAAAGUAUCCUAAGAGCAACUUGAGUAGUGUUGUUAUCCAUGAUAGAAAAUAUAGUCUAUCAAGAUUCAAAGACAAGUUGAUUAAAUUCUGUAGCAGGGCACCAUGUAUUAUUGCCAACUCAGAGGCAAUUCUAUAGUUCAUGUUGCAGACAUGACUUUCCCAAAAUGGUACAAUAAGCAAGGGCUCAUGGAAGUUUUGUAUAUGUGCAGUAAAAUGGUGCCACGUGAGAACUUUUGGUUGUAAGUCGUCAUAAAUAAUAAAAUCAUUUUGCAGAUUCAUUUUCA